AUACGUAGGUGGCAAGCGUUGUCCGGAAUUAUUGGGCGUAAAGCGCGCGCAGGUGGUUCCUUAAGUCUGAUGUGAAAGCCCCCGGCUCAACCGGGGAGGGUCAUUGGAAACUGGGGAACUUGAGGGCAGAGGAGGAUAGUGGAAUUCCAGUGGAAGCGGUGAAAUGCGUAGAGAUUUGGAGGAACACCAGUGGCGAAGGCGACUGUCUGGUCUGUAACUGACACUGAGGCGCGAAAGCGUGGGGAGCAAACAGGAUUAGAUCCCCUGGUAGUCCACGCCGUAAACGAUGAGUGCUAAGUGUUGGGGGGUUUCCGCCCCUCAGUGCUGCAGCUAACGCAUUAAGCACUCCGCCUGGGGAGUACGGUCGCAAGACUGAAACUCAAAGGAAUUGACGGGG
rnacentral:rRNA from 1 species